UGCAGAGAAAUGUAUAUGCCCAAUGAACACAGCUAACAACACUUUAUUUGUCACUAUUUCUUAGUUAAAAAGAAUGUUCAAUAGCCAGUUCCAUUCUGGCCAUGCAGGAAUGAAAGGAAAGCCGUUCAAAUAUCAAUAUCAAGUUUUGGAAGAAAAUGAAAAUGAACUGGUUUAACGAGAGUCUUAUGACGUGCACAGAAUUGUAAUAUAGCCAGAAUGAAAACCUCAGUGUAUUUAUGAAAUGGCGGAUUAAAAAUUUAUAGGAAUUGUCGAUGAUGAGCAUAGAGGAGAGCCUGGGUUCCAGUUUGAAUAUGAACUACGAUUAUGCAAAAAUGUUAAAAUUGAUAUAGCGUAGUUAUAAUUGUGAAUAUAAAUACAC